rnacentral:rRNA from 1 species
UGUAAGCGUAUACCAAAGUUGUUGCAGUUAAAACGCUCGUAGUCGGAAUUUGGCAGUUCCGGAAGUGUGCACGUCGUGUGCGCACUUUGCGGGGACUGCUUUUGUGGUCUUGCGUAGGAUGAGGCACUUUCAUUAGUGAACGUCCUCACGCAACCACUCUUUACUGUGAGAAAAUCAGAGUGCUCAAAGCAGGCAUUUGCCGUGAAUGUAUUAGCAUGGAAUAAUAGUAUAGGACUCGGUUCUAUUUUGUUGGUUUGUUGGGACUGAGUAAUGAUUAAGAGGGACAGUUGGGGGCAUUUGUAUUCCGGCGCUAGAGGUGAAAUUCUUAGAUUGCCGGAAGACAAACUGCUGCGAAAGCGUCUGCCAAGGAUGUUUUCAUUGA